rnacentral:rRNA from 1 species
AGUGAACGCUGGCGGUAGGCCUAACACAUGCAAGUCGAACGGCAGCACAGGAGAGCUUGCUCUCUGGGUGGCGAGUGGCGGACGGGUGAGGAAUACAUCGGAAUCUACUUUUUCGUGGGGGAUAACGUAGGGAAACUUACGCUAAUACCGCAUACGACCUACGGGUGAAAGCAGGGGGUCUUCGGACCUUGCGCGAUUGAAUGAGCCGAUGUCGGGUUAGCUAGUUGGCGGGGUAAAGGCCCACCAAGGCGACGAUCCGUAGCUGGUCUGAGAGGAUGAUCAGCCACACUGGAACUGAGACACGGUCCAGACUCCUACGGGAGGCAGCAGUGGGGAAUAUUGGACAAUGGGCGCAAGCCUGAUCCAGCCAUACCGCGUGGGUGAAGAAGGCCUUCGGGUUGUAAAGCCCUUUUGUUGGGAAAGAAAUCCAGCUGGUUAAUACCCGGCUGGGAUGACGGUACCCAAAGAAUAAGCACCGGCUAACUUCGUGCCAGCCGCCGCGGUAA